rnacentral:rRNA from 1 species
GAUGAACGCUGGCGGCGUGCCUAACACAUGCAAGUCGAACGAAGCACUUAAGCUUGCUUAAGUGACUUAGUGGCGGACGGGUGACGUAAUGUGUGAGCAACCUGCCCUGGAUGGGGGACAACAGUUGGAAACGACUGCUAAUACCGCAUAAUGUACUUUUAAGGCAUCUUUAAGGUACCAAAGAUUUAUUGCUCUGGGAUGGGCUCACAUCUGAUUAGUUUGUUGGUGAGGUAACGGCUCACCAAGACUGCGAUCAGUAGCCGGACUGAGAGGUUGAACGGCCACAUUGGGACUGAGAUACGGCCCAGACUCCUACGGGAGGCAGCAGUGGGGAAUAUUGGGCAAUGGGCGAAAGCCUGACCCAGCAACGCCGCGUGAAGGAAGAAGGUCUUCGGAUUGUAAACUUCUUUUAUGAGGGACGAAGAAAGUGACGGUACCUCAUGAAUAAGCCACGGCUAACUACGUG